CUGGCACCUUUUCUUAUUGGAGAACCCCAGAAGGCUUUCUAUGACCUGGAACCAGCACAGGCAGGGGUCUACUCCAAAUUGAAGGCUGAGAUCCUGGCACGACUUGGUGUGACUAUGGCAGUUCGUGCCCAAAGAUUUCAUGCCUGGACUUUCAACCAAGAGAAGCCUAUCCGCUCCCAGAUGUUUGACCUGAUACAUCUGGCUAGGAAGUGGUUACAAC